AAGUAGGCUCCAGGCAGACAGCAGCGAGCCCGACACGGAGCUCAAACUCACGAGCUCCCGAGUUCGUGACCUGAGCUGAAGUCAGAUGCUCACCCGACUGACCUACCCAGGCGCCCCACCCCGCCUUACCUAGAUGAGAGCAACACUACCAACCACCCAAAGCUCGUGGAGAAACUGGGGUGCCUAUGAGGAAGCUCCCAUCAGGAGUGGCCGCUCACCCGAUGUGAAUUUCCGUUCUCUCCUGGAAGAUGUAACAGGAGCAACGUGGAGCCUCCUUUGUAAGCUUUUCUUAUCUGUAGCGUUUUGGAGAUGUGCCUGCAUUCCUUAGUUCCCUCUGGAUCCCUUGGCCCUCAAGGGUCAUAAAACCUUGUAGGUUUUACCUCUUCAGUAGCCACUGAUUCAGUCUGCCCUUCUGUGUCCACACUGUGCCCGCCUUAGUUGGGGCCCUGCCUCACCUCUAGCUCAUUCUCACCCCCCUGUUGGCAGAUGCUGACCCUGGGCAUCCCAUCCUUGCAAACCUCAGUGCACACGCUUGGUUCUUGGGCACAGCCAGCUGUCUCCCCCUGAUACCAGCCUGUCCUGUUCGGAGGGCAACCUGGCUCGCCUCCCAGCCUCCCAUGAAUUUGGCUGUGGCUGAGCCACCGGGUUCUGGAUGUGAUCUGAGACAACGCAGUCUCUGAUUUAUUUCCUGAAAGGUGCAUGCCUGUCCCUUUCCUUUCUUCCCCUCCAGUGGGCUGGAAUGAGGACGCAGUGGCAGGAGCUGCAGCAGCCACCUUGGACCAAGGGCCACAUGCUCAAUGCUUCCCCGGCAGAGAGAGGGGAAGGUGGGAGGAGAAAGAGGCCAGGCUGCUGCUCCUCCCUGCUAGCCUCCAUUCUGAUCAUGGCCGUGUCCUCUACCUGAGGCCACAGCCUGACAGGCACCCUGCUCCCCAGGCAGGGUGUUCCACUGGCACCCCCCUCUCCCCCGUCAGGGCUCCCUGUGGCUAGUCCUGAUGCUACACCCACCCCGGUGGACCCCUUCAUCACACUAGCCUUGGUUGGCUGCUGCUGUGGGUGCCAACCUGAGCUCCCCCCACCAAGCCCUGCCCUGAGCCCCCUCGCCACAGGACCGGUGCACCCCACUCCUGUUCCUCUUUCUGCUUUCCUGCAGGGCUGCCUCUGAGCUGGUCCCCUGUGCUCUCAUUGUCCCUUUUCCUGCCCUACAGCUGGGAGGCACUGGACUGACUGGCAGCUCAGUUCUGGUGGAGGGACAGUUACCGAGGCGUCAAGCAGAACACGGAUCAUGGCAGAUGGCAAUAACGUGCUGGGGAGAAGGAAGGCGGGAAGGAGCCAGGGUAGGUGUGCUGGCGUUAGACCAGGUGGUAAGGAAAGGCCUCACAAAGGCCAGCAAGGGAAGCUGGUGUGUGGGGGCGGGGGGGGGGCAGUGGACACAGGAGGAAGAGGGUGAAGUCAGGGCCUGUUAUGAGCCAGAAGGGCCGCCUGUGACUCACUAGCGCCCCCUCUGGCCACCGUGUGGGGAAGACUGAAAGGGCACCACCCCCUGAGAAGGGUGCUGUCGCCACCUGGCGGGAGGAGAAGGCGACAGCAGUGGGGCCAGAGGGAAGUGGCCCGUCGCCCUGCUCCUGAGGCGGAGCUGACCAGGGGACAGACGCCAAGCGGAGGAGGGUGUGCAGAGCAGGAGAGCUGAGAGGGGUCGUGCCGGGGAGUUCAGAGCUGGGACGGGCGGCGGCGGAGUUGGGAGAAAGCACGCAUGUGGUCUGCUCCGGCACGGGUCCCCAAGCACGGAGAAGGGAAAAUCAAGGCCCCACAGGCCGGCUUGAAUCACAUGACCGGCUCAGCCCAGACGGCAAUACCGCCUUGCCAGAGGGCCUGCUGUUCCCCGUACAGGGAGUGGAGUAGUCUCGGAUCAGACAGACGGCACCACCAUGCAGAAAACAUCCGGUUUAUUAGGAUUAGCUGUGGCGUACAUGGUUCCUUUGAUAGUUCUGAGCUGAUCACGAGUCCCCAGUAACGGUACACAGGUAGGGAUGCGGCUGAACACAGACAGUAACUGGUAAACUGCUUAGAAAAUCACGGGGACCCCAAUGGGUUAUGUUAGCGAUUUGUGAAAGAAAGAAAACGUAGCGUGGGACCUUGCCACGGGUGCGGAGCAGAGCAGGUGGGUUUUUGUGGCCUCCUUCAGUGCUCUCACUGCGAGCCCCCGUGCCCCCCAGAAGCUGGAUGGGAGGGCCGGAGACCAUCCACCCCCCUCCCUGCAAAGGAGCAGCGCCCCCCUCUUCCUGCUUACAGGUGGCAUCUCUUCCCAGAAAGACUGUCAGCCAUGAAACCCAUUUCCAUACGGACCGGCGUGACCUCCGAGUUACAGGGGGAAGGUGCUGCAUCCACAACAGCGCUGGGGCCUAGUGUCCCGACUGGUCGUCCCGUCGCAUCUCCGGAAUCCAUCUUCCCACCUGCUCGAGGCCGGGACCCGUGUGACCCAGCUUCCUUCCCUUCCAGACCCAGCUCUCCGUCGUGGCGAAGGCAGGACUUGGAAGUUCCGAAUGUCAGCAUGGAGCAUGGAGCCGUCAACACUGAGCACGAACUCAGUUCAAGACUCACACAGCUGUCCCAGGACAGGCGGGCACGUGGCACUGGCGUGGCCCCGCGUGGGACUCCAGACACAGCUGGUGUCCAGCUCCCACCCCUGCUCCUAUUCAGCAGGUGGGGUGGCCUGUCAAUGUCCCCGUCCCCUCCUAGAUUGGGAGACACUCCUGCUUCCAAAUAAUUCUUUGUUCUAAUAUAGGCGAGUCUUUAACCAGAUAUGCAAAUGUGACUGAUUUAGAGCUUUCGUAUAAUCUCUGUUAGAGCUUUCAUAUAAAUAAACUCAUGCAUCCAAAAGA